GACGAACGCUGGCGGCGUGCCUAAUACAUGCAAGUUGAGCGAUGAAGAUUGGUGCUUGCACCAAUUUGAAGAGCAGCGAACGGGUGAGUAACGCGUGGGGAAUCUGCCUUUGAGCGGGGGACAACAUUUGGAAACGAAUGCUAAUACCGCAUAACAACUUUAAACAUAAGUUUUAAGUUUGAAAGAUGCAAUUGCAUCACUCAAAGAUGAUCCCGCGUUGUAUUAGCUAGUUGGUGAGGUAAAGGCUCACCAAGGCGAUGAUACAUAGCCGACCUGAGAGGGUGAUCGGCCACAAUGGGACUGGGAAACGGCCCAAACUCCUACGGGAGGCAGCAGUAGGGAAUCUUCGGCAAUGGACGAAAGUCUGACCGAGCAACGCCGCGUGAGUGAAGAAGGUUUUCGGAUCGUAAAACUCUGUUGGUAGAGAAGAACGUUGGUGAGAGUGGAAAGCUCAUCAAGUGACGGUAACUACCCAGAAAGGGACGGCUAACUACGUG
rnacentral:rRNA from 1 species